GACGAACGCUGGCGGCGUGCCUAACACAUGCAAGUCGAGCGGGGACACGAGGGGGUAACCCUGAGUGUUCAAGCGGCGGACGGGUGAGUAACGCGUGAGUGAUCUAACUUUUACAGGGGGAUAACAUUGGGAAACCAGUGCUAAUACCGCAUAAGACCACAGAGCCGCAUGGCAGAGGGGUCAAAGGAGAGAUCCGGUAGAAGAGGAGCUCGCGUCCCAUUAGCUAGUUGGCGGGGUAAAGGCCCACCAAGGCGACGAUGGGUAGCCGACCUGAGAGGGUGAUCGGCCACACUGGGACUGAGACACGGCCCAGACUCCUACGGGAGGCAGCAGUGGGGAAUAUUGGGCAAUGGGCGAAAGCCUGACCCAGCAACGCCGCGUGAGGGAAGAAGGUUCUUGGAUUGUAAACCUCUGUCCUAUGUGAAGAAAAAAAUGACGGUAGCAUAGGAGGAAGCCCCGGCUAACUACGUGCCAGCCGCCGCAGUAAGA
rnacentral:rRNA from 1 species